rnacentral:misc_RNA from 1 species
AAUUCAGAGUCUUCAGUUUCAAAACCCCACCGGGCGCCAGCUAAAACCCUACUGAUACCCUACCGUCCGUACAAAUCCCGGCGUAAAUGGAACCGGAAAAAUCCUCAGCUCAAAUCAAAGACAAAGAUUUGUUCAAAGCCGCUGAAUCUGGUGAUUCAUCGCUCUUCAAAUCACUUCCUGAAGAACAACUCCUCAAAUCCCUCUCUCUCCGUAAUGAAGAUGAUCGUUCUCUCCUUCACGUUGCCGUCUCUUUCGGACACUCUGAGGUGGUGAAGAUUCUUGCAGCUGCUGAUCCGUCAGUGAGUGGUAUAAAUAGUGGUGAUGAAGAAGGUUGGGUGCCGUUGCAUUCUGCCGCAAGCAGUGGUAAUGUGGAAAUUGUGGAGAUUUUGCUUAGCAGAGGGGCUGAUGUAAAUCUGAAAAAUGAUGGUGGCCGCACUGCUCUUCAUUAUGCUGCUAGCAAGGGUCAAGUGAAAAUAGCUGAACUUUUGAUUUCACGUGGUGCUAAGAUCAAUGCAAAAGACAAGGUAGGAUGCACCCCAUUGCAUCGUGCAGCUAGCACGGGGAACUCUCAGCUGUGUGAACUAUUAGUUGAGGAAGGCGCUGAAGUUGAUGAAGUUGACAAGGCAGGGGAAACACCUCUGAUGACUGCUGUUGUAUGCGGCAAUAAAGAGGUAGCUUUGCUCCUCAUAAGACAUGGAGCAGAUGUUGACAUUGAGGACAAGGAAGGGUACACUGUUCUUGGUCGAGCUUCUAAUGAUCUUCGUCCAGUAUUAGUCGAUGCUGCAAAGAUGAUGCUCGAAGGAUAAACUCCACGACCUCAUGAUAGCUCAUCAGAAAACGCAAGCCAACUCUGUAAAUGUUCAACCUGAAGCGUGCUCAACUAGACACAUACCGAUGAAUAUUCUGGAACUAUUUAGUUGUAGGGCAGAAAACCUAAAUGUUGUACUUAACUCUUGGUGAUGCUCCUUUAGUUAUGACAAGUGCAUCCAUUUUAGAAAAUCUUGAUAAUUGACUCAAACUUUUGUAUCGAAAG